GCAUGGGUGGUUCAGUGGUAGAAUUCUUGCCUGCCACGCGGGAGGCCCGGGUUCAAUUCCUGGCCCAUACA
rnacentral:tRNA from 1 species